rnacentral:rRNA from 1 species
GUCUACGGCCAUGCCACCCUGAACAAGCCCAGUCCCAUCUGAUCUUGGAAGCUAAGCAGGGUUGGGCCUGGUUAAUAUUUGGAUGGGAGACCACCUAGGAAGACUAGGUACUGUAGACG